rnacentral:rRNA from 1 species
UACGGAGGGUGCAAGCGUUAUCCGGAUUUACUGGGUUUAAAGGGUGCGUAGGUGGAUUUGUAAGUCAGUGGUGAAAUCUCCGGGCUUAACCCGGAAACUGCCAUUGAUACUAUAAGUCUUGAAUUAUCUGGAGGUAAGCGGAAUAUGUCAUGUAGCGGUGAAAUGCUUAGAUAUGACAUAGAACACCAAUUGCGAAGGCAGCUUACUACGGAUAUAUUGACACUGAGGCACGAAAGCGUGGGGAUCGAACAGG